CUACGGGGGGCAGCAGGCGCGAAACUUUUACAAUGUACGUAAGUGCGAUAAAGAAACUCCAAGUGCUUAUGCUUUGCAUAGGCUUUUGCCAAGAGUAAAUAUCUUGGCGAAUAAGUGGUGGGUAAGACUGGUGCCAGCCGCCGCGGUAAUACCAGCGCCACAAGUGGGAAUCAUGUUUAUUGGGCCUAAAGCGUUCGUAGCCGGUUUAGUAAGUUUUGAGUGAAAUCGUUGCGCUUAACAAAACGACGUGCUUGAAAUACUGCUGAACUUGAGACCGGGAGGAGUCAGGAGUAUUCCGGGGGAGCGGUAAAAUGCUAUAAUCUUCGGAGGACUACCUGUGGCGAAGGCGCCUGACUAGAACGGGUCUGACGGUGAGGAACGAAAGCUGGGGGAGCAAAGCGGAUUAGAUACCCUAGUAGUC
rnacentral:rRNA from 1 species